rnacentral:rRNA from 1 species
UACGAAGGGGGCUAGCGUUGCUCGGAAUGACUGGGCGUAAAGGGCGCGUAGGCGGUUCGUACAGUUGGAUGUGAAAUUCCUGGGCUCAACCUGGGGGCUGCGUUUGAUACGUGCGGACUUGAGUGCGGAAGAGGGUCGUGGAAUUCCCGGUGUAGCGGUGAAAUGCGUAGAUAUCGGAAGGAACACCUGUGGCGAAAGCGGCUCACUGGACCAUUACUGACGCUGAGGCACGAAAGCUAGGGGAGCAAACAGG